rnacentral:rRNA from 1 species
AGUCAUGCCGGCGGGAAUCACUUAGGGGAACUUUAGUGCACUUCACGUUUGGCAGGUCAGCAUCGAUUUUGGAUGUCAUAAAAUGACUGGGGGAAGGUAGCUCCUUCGGGAGUGUUAUAGACCUUGGUAGAUGUGAUGUCUGGGAUCGAGGAUUGCAACGGAUACCCUUUGGGCUAGCCGCCUGAUCUCUAACUGGUGUUGGGUUACAGACAGCAUGCUGACUGUGAUUUAAUUAUUGGUUAAAAGGUUAGAGCGAGUGUAAAUUCGUUAAGGAUGUUGACGUA